GCUUCCUGUCCGUCAGUUUUGUUUUCGUUGCUUGUUGCUGAGCAUCAAACUUUUUUCUGUUUUGAAUCAGGAGGUACAGCUUGAGUUGAGUUUCAGGAGUUAGACUGGUUAUUUAACAAGAGAUCUCAAGAACUCAACUGAGAGUAGUAAAUAGAAGAUUUUUCGGAUUGAAAGGAGUUCUUGAAUCGAAGAAAGUAUACUCUAUACUCUCCUG